CUACACUGAACGCGGGUGUCAUAGACUGCCAGGGAAUUUUCAUGAAAACAGCCAGGGAAAGCUUGGAAAAACAUCAGGGAAAUUGAAAAUGACAACAUAGCAUGCACCUGCAGCACCUUCGGAACGGCUGACACGAAGGUCAAGGCCAGCCAGGCAACCGUGCUUGCCAAGGGGAAGCAGCUUUAAAUAUGUAAAUAUUCUCUUUUGAUGAUAGCAUAAGACAUGCAUUUUAAUAAAUUAAUGUAUUAUAUCGUUCAAUAAAAACAGUUAAUUCAAUAUCGGUGCACUUGUUUUCUUUUUUGCACUACAUGAGUCUGCACUUGUGGAAUUGCUUGAAAUAUUUCUUUCUGCUACAUAUGAGAGUACAGCUGGUUCGGGAUCAUUAACAUGAAUGCAUAAAUGCAGAUGGGAAGCAACAGGUGCACAUGCAUAAUAUACGUUCAAAAUUUUGUUGCCGCCAUAUGUAAACAAAAAUUUUAACUACCU